GACGAACGUUGGCGGUGCGCUUUAUGCAUGCAAGUCGAGCGAGAAGCGUUGGUUCCGUAAGGUUCCGACGUGGAAAGCGGCGAACGGGUGCGUAACACGUGAGAAACCUGCCCCCCAGACCGGGAUAGCCCAGGGAAACUUGGAUUAAUACCGGAUAUUCUCUUUGGAUCGCAUGAUCCGUUGAGGAAAUGGUCCGCUGCUGGGGGAUGGUCUCGCGGCCUAUCAGGUAGUUGGUGAGGUAACGGCUCACCAAGCCGAAGACGGGUAGCUGGUCUGAGAGGACGAUCAGCCACACUGGAACUGAGACACGGUCCAGACUCCUACGGGAGGCAGCAGCAGGGAAUAUUGCACAAUGGGCGAAAGCCUGAUGCAGCGACACCGCGUGCGGGAUGAAGGCCUUCGGGUUGUAAACCGCUUUCAGGAGGGAAGAAAAUGACGGUACCUCCAGAAGAAGGCCCGGCCAACUACG
rnacentral:rRNA from 1 species